rnacentral:rRNA from 1 species
GACGAGGGAUCCUAGCGUUGUUCGGAAUCAUUGGGCGUAAAGCGCGCGUAGGCGGCCCGGUAAGUCCGCUGUGAAAGUCAAAGGCUCAACCUUUGAAUGUCAGCGGAUACUGCCGGGCUAGAGUCCGGAAGAGGCGAGUGGAACUCCUGGUGUAGCGGUGGAAUGCGCAGAUAUCAGGAAGAACACCAACGGCGAAGGCAGCUCGCUGGGACGGAACUGACGCUGAGGCGCGAAAGCGUGGGGAGCGAACAGG